GGAGGGCAAAUUUGGGGCCCGCAGCCGCGGUAAUUCCAGCUUCCAUAGCGUAUAUUAAAGUUGUUGCAGUUAAAAAGCUCGUAGUUGAAUUUCGGGGUUACCACGUUGGUCGUGCCACUGGUAUGUACUGGCUUUGCUGAUUCCUCCUUCUUGGGAAACCAUAAUGUCAUUAAUUUGGUGUGGCGGGGAAACAGGACUGUUACUUUAAAAAA
rnacentral:rRNA from 1 species